rnacentral:rRNA from 1 species
CCUACGGGAGGCAGCAGUGAGGAAUAUUGGUCAAUGGCCGGAAGGCUGAACCAGCCAAGCCGCGUGAAGGACGAAGGUUCCAAGCAUUGUAAACUUCUUUUGUCAAGGGACAAAAUGAGGCACGAGAGCCUGACUGAGGGUACUUGAUGAAAAAGCAUCGGCUAACUCCGUGCCAGCAGCCGCGGUAAUACGGAGGAUGCGAGCGUUAUCCGGAUUUAUUGGGUUAAAAGGGUGCGUAGGCGGGCAGUUAAGUCAGCGGUAAAAGCCCGGGGCUCAACCCCGGAGUGCCGUUGAAACUGGGUGUCUUGAGAAGUCGAGAGGUAUGCGGAAUGCGCGGUGUAGCGGUGAAAUGCUUAGAUAUUGCGCAGAACUCCGAUUGCGAAGGCAGCAUAC